GUUUGAUCCUGGCUCAGGAUGAACGCUAGCUACAGGCUUAACACAUGCAAGUCGAGGGGCAGCGGGAUUGAAGCUUGCUUCAAUUGCCGGCGACCGGCGCACGGGUGAGUAACGCGUAUCCAACCUUCCGUACACUCAGGGAUAGCCUUUCGAAAGAAAGAUUAAUACCUGAUGGUAUGAUGAGAUUGCAUGAUAGCAUCAUUAAAGAUUUAUCGGUGUACGAUGGGGAUGCGUUCCAUUAGGUAGUAGGCGGGGUAACGGCCCACCUAGCCAACGAUGGAUAGGGGUUCUGAGAGGAAGGUCCCCCACAUUGGAACUGAGACACGGUCCAAACUCCUACGGGAGGCAGCAGUGAGGAAUAUUGGUCAAUGGACGAGAGUCUGAACCAGCCAAGUAGCGUGAAGGAUGAAGGUCCUACGGAUUGUAAACUUCUUUUAUAAGGGAAUAAACCCUCCCACGUGUGGGAGCUUGUAUGUACCUUAUGAAUAAGCAUCGGCUAACUCCGUGCCAGCAGCCGCGGUAAUACGGAGGGUGCGAGCGUUAUCCGGAUUUAUUGGGUUUAAAGGGUGCGCAGACGGGUCGUUAAGUCAGCUGUGAAAGUUUGGGGCUCAACCUUAAAAUUGCAGUUGAUACUGGCGUCCUUGAGUGCGGUUGAGGUGUGCGGAAUUCGUGGUGUAGCGGUGAAAUGCUUAGAUAUCACGAAGAACUCCGAUUGCGAAGGCAGCACACUAAUCCGUAACUGACGUUCAUGCUCGAAAGUGUGGGUAUCAAACAGGAUUAGAUACCCUGGUAGUCCACACGGUAAACGAUGGAUACUCGCUGUUGGCGAUAUACUGUCAGCGGCUUAGCGAAAGCGUUAAGUAUCCCACCUGGGGAGUACGCCGGCAACGGUGAAACU
rnacentral:rRNA from 1 species